rnacentral:other from 1 species
UAUACCCUGCUCGGUACGCGUUUGCGCUCCGAUUCUCUGAGCCAACACCCUCUCGAAGGGAGCAUUACCCACUCGAGAAUAGACGGCAUGCCCAUCUGGGACGCUGGAAACUCGAGGGGACGCACCCACCUCAAUCGAUGAGGUUCAGAGAUACUGCGCGCGCGACCAAUGGCGGGGUAUUU